rnacentral:rRNA from 1 species
AUUGAACGCUGGCGGCAGGCCUAACACAUGCAAGUCGAGCGGAUGAAGGGAGCUUGCUCCUGGAUUCAGCGGCGGCCGGGUGAGUAAUGCCUAGGAAUCUGCCUGGUAGUGGGGGAUAACGUCCGGAAACGGGCGCUAAUACCGCAUACGUCCUGAGGGAGCCAGUGGGGGAUCUUCGGACCUCACGCUAUCAGAUGAGCCUAGGUCGGAUUAGCUAGUUGGUGGGGUAAAGGCCUACCAAGGCGACGAUCCGUAACUGGUCUGAAAGGAUGAUCAGUCACACUGGAACUGAGACACGGGCCAGACUCCGACGAGACGCAACAGUGGGGAAUAUUAGACAAUGGGCAAGAGCCUGAUCCAGCCAAGCCGGGUGUGGGAAGAAGGUCUUCGGAUUGUAGAGCACUUUAAGUUGGAAGGAAGGGCAGUAAGUUAAUACCUUGCUGUUAUGACGUUACCAACAGAAUAAGCACCGGCUAACUUCGUG